rnacentral:tRNA from 1 species
GGAGGAAUAGCUCAGUGGUAGAGUGCAUGCUUAGCAGGCACGAAGUCCUGGGUUCAAUCCCCAACACUUCCA